AUUGAACGCUGGCGGCAGGCCUAACACAUGCAAGUCGAGCGGAUGAAGGGAGCUUGCUCCUGGAUUCAGCGGCGGACGGGUGAGUAAUGCCUAGGAAUCUGCCUGGUAGUGGGGGAUAACGUCCGGAAACGGGCGCUAAUACCGCAUACGUCCUGCGGGAGAAAGUGGGGGAUCUUCGGACCUCACGCUAUCAGAUGAGCCUAGGUCGGAUUAGCUAGUUGGUGGGGUAAAGGCCUACCAAGGCGACGAUCGGUAACUGGUCUGAGAGGAUGAUCAGUCACACUGGAACUGAGACACGGUCCAGACUCCUACGAGAGGCAGCAGUGGGGAAUAUUGGACAAUGGGCGAAAGCCUGAUCCAGCCAUGCCGCGUGUGUGAAGAAGGUCUUCGGAUUGUAAAGCACUUUAAGUUGGGAGGAAGGGCAGUAAGUUAAUACCUUGCUGUUUUGACGUUACCAACAGAAUAAGCACCGGCUAACUUCGUG
rnacentral:rRNA from 1 species